rnacentral:lncRNA from 1 species
UUUUUUAUUUUUAUUUUUUCAAUGUGUCAUAACACAAACCAGAGUGUUGAUUUGAUAUUUGCCUAUAUAUCAGACGUUUUGUUAUUCCCAGAGCUUCUUCCAUACAAUACCUUAGUCCUGGUUUCUGAUCAAAAAGUUCAUCCAUUUCCACCACUUCACAUAAAGAAGGAAACAAUGCAAAUUAUAUCUGUCCGAACCUAAAACCCUAAGCUUGAGACACAUAUCGAGCUGCUGCGUACCGAGUAUAAUCUUACAUUCCCAAAGCUAGACUUGUCAAUUUAACAAGAGUAGACCAAAAGAUAUUAAUGAAGUGAGCAGCAUUACUUCUUGUCUUCCGCUUUCCUCAGCAUAAAAAACAACGAAACGAAGAUACAAAAGGUAAGUAAAUUCAAUCCACAGAAAAUAAUGCUCCAAAAAAUGUCAAAUGUUUUGGUCUUUUGGACACUGAUUAACUCUUUAGACCAUCCAUAAAAACUAAAUUUCAUAUAUGCUGUUUCCAAAGUCUUCUACUUUUCAGAUUCAAAUGAGAAAGUAAAAAUGUUCCAACACAGACCUUGACACUAGGAGCCCCUUGGUGAAGCUCCUCAUCAGAGAUGAUCACAGGCCAUAACGAUAGUUGGGCGGGCUUUAUGGAAUAAGAUUGGGUAUAUUGGAUUAAAGUUGGUUUCCAGAUAUUUAAACGUGUUAGUGAUUUUAAUAUUGUUUAUGCAUUCAGGUAGUGUUGAAAAACUAACUCACACAGUCUUUAAUAUUCAUCACAUACGUUCUUUUGAAUUUUUUGAUGUAACCACCUUUUUUUUUUCAAAAACAAAUUGUCGAUUUUAGGGUAAUUGUCGUCGGAAUUCCGUUUUUCAAAAACAUACGUUUUGAUGUAACCUUCGAAGGUUAUUUAGAGAUUGGCAAAAAGGUAUUAAAACAAGAUGAC